UUCGGAUGUUCGAGGCGUUCGAGGUUAGAUUUGUAUUUUGUUGAUUUUGCGUUUGGCGUUAAAUACUUUGAGUUUUCAAUUUUGUUUUAUUGUACCCUCUUUAUUAUUUUUGUAAUGAAGGGUAUUAAAGUUUGUUUUGUGAAGGGCUAUCUAAAUAACUCUGAAGGCUCUUCAGAAAAAGUUUUUAUAUCUGUUCCUUUGGAUGAAAGCCGUCGAAGAGCCUGGUUUGAAGCGGCAAGACAACAAUAUGUCAGCAAAAGUACGAGAUUUUGCUGAGAAGAUCAUUUUAACAUAAAAAAUUCAGAAACAAUAUUGAUGGAAUCGAUUUUAAGAAGCAAAUCGGAAAAGGAGAUACAACAAAUACAAUUAUUUAUUCUUAAACUUAAGUUACAAACACCAUUCAACAUCUACAAUUUUUUCGAUUUGGGCCUUGGAAUAAUUUCCCCUAUAGUCAGCCAUAUUUUGACGUAUAUCUUAGUAGCGUUUCAGGUUUACUCUACCUAAAGACUUAAUAAUUUCUUUUUAUUGUAUUGCUAUUGUGAGAUAACUCCAGGA